UGUAUUGGAGGUAGAUGCCAGCCAUGGAGGGCUGGGAGCCGUACUUUCUCAGGAGCAUGAUAAACUCAGGCCUAUUGCGUAUGCUAGUCGGGGUUUGAGACCCACCGAAAGAAACAUGGACAAUUAUAGUUCCAUGAAGCUUGAACUCUUGGCCGUGAAAUGGGCAGUAACAGAAAAGUUUAGAGAGUACCUGCUAGGGAGUAAUUUCGUCAUAUUUACUGACAAUAACCCUUUAAGCCAUCUUCAGACCGCAAAGUUGGGGGCGGUGGAACAGAGGUGGGCAUCCCAAUUGGCCUCAUUUAAUUUUACCAUCAAGUAUCGUCCGGGCCGUAGUAAUGGCAAUGCUGAUGCUUUGUCGAGACAGUAUCUGGAGAGAUUUGCAUCAGGGACAGACGUUCCACCUGUUUUGGUGGGACCGUUAUCCAAGGGGUCAGAGAAAGAGGUAGGGUGUAAUGAGGUUGUAGCACUGGCUGGGCGGUCUGUGGAGGACCUUUCCUCAUUACAAGAAAUGGACUCUGUGAUUGGUCCGGUGUUGGCGUUAUUUCGGUCAGGGGGUCAGCCUAGAUCUGAAGAGAGAGAGGCAAUGUCAGUGGGAAGUAAGGAACUGUUACGACACUGGGAACGGUUGGUAGAGAAGGGAGGGGCAUUAUACCGGGUAAUACGAUUACCAGGGGAAUGUAAGGAUACAUUUCAGGUUGUACUUCCCCAGUGUUUGCAAGAAGAGGUACUUCGAAGUGUACAUGAUGGCCAUGGCCAUCAAGGCAUUGAUCGUACUCUUCAGCUGGUUCGUAGCCGGUGUUUCUGGCCAGGUAUGACAAGGAGAGUGGAACAGUGGUGUCAACAAUGAGAAAGAUGUAUUCUAAAUAAGGCGGUGCAACCAAAGAUUCGGUCUUUUCAAGGUACAAUUCAAGCCUCCCGCCCUCAUGAGAUCCUGGCUAUAGAUUUCACCAUUUUAGAGCCAGCCAGCGAUGGUCGCGAAAAUAUUCUCGUUUUUACAGACGUUUUCUCUAAGUAUACUCAGGCAGUGGCAGAAUGGGAGGGGAAUUGGGAAGUAACUACCAAUCCCAGUACACAUUGCCUAUAGGAUGGUCCAAUUCAAAGGACAGGCAACAUGGAAGGGCAGCCGGGGUCCUUGCAGCAUCAGUUAGCCGUUUGGCUAGUAGCGUGUGGGACUGGGUGUCCUGUGAUGUACUCUUCCUUGAUGGAAGAACUGUUUGCCUGAUGGAAUAAAUUCAGGACCAUCAUGUUUUUUGUCUGAUUGUGCACCUUAAAGGUAUGGUUAUUCAUUUUGAGUUUGUUUGUUUGUGAUGUGGAUGGGACUGACACUCAUGAAAAAUACUCUAUUUUUGUUAUAGGGUGUUGGAUGUUGAUUGCUAGUCGCUGUUCUCUUAUAUGUUUUUUUUUUUUUUU